GAUGAACGCUGGCGGCGUGCCUAAUACAUGCAAGUAGAACGCUGAAGGAGGAGCUUGCUCUUCUGGAUGAGUUGCGAACGGGUGAGUAACGCGUAGGUAACCUGCCUGGUAGCGGGGGAUAACUAUUGGAAACGAUAGCUAAUACCGCAUGACAACAGUUAUUGCAUGAUAACUGUUUAAAAGGGGCAACUGCUCCACUACCAGAUGGACCUGCGUUGUAUUAGCUAGUUGGUGAGGUAACGGCUCACCAAGGCGACGAUACAUAGCCGACCUGAGAGGGGGGUCGGCCACACUGGGACUGAGACACGGCCCAGACUCCUACGGGAGGCAGCAGUAGGGAAUCUUCGGCAAUGGACGGAAGUCUGACCGGGCAACGCCGCGUGAGUGAAGAAGGUUUUCGGGUCGUAAAGCUCUGUUGUAAGAGAAGGACGAGUGUGGGAGUGGAAAGUUCACACUGUGACGGUAUCUUACCAGAAAGGGACGGCUAACUACGUG
rnacentral:rRNA from 1 species